rnacentral:rRNA from 1 species
GGGGGGGGGGGGGGGGGGGGGGGGGGGGGGGGGGGCGGGGGGGGGGGGGGGGGGGGGGGGGGGGGCUGGGGGGGGGGGCGGGGGAGGGACACGUGAGUGACCUGCCCUGGACUUUGGGAUGGCUUCAGGAAGCUGGGGCUAAUGCCGGAUGGGAGCGCCUGCUGCAUGGUGGGGGUUGGACAGUUGCGGCGGUUGGGGAUGGACGCGCCGCUUAUGAGCGUGUUGGUGGGGUAGUGGCUUACCAAGGCUUUGACGGGUAGCCGGCCUGAGAGGGUGACCGGCCACAUUGGGACUGAGAUACGGCCCAGACUCCUACGGGAGGCAGCAGUGGGGAAUAUUGAACAAUGGGCGGAAGCCUGAUGCAGCAACGCCGCGUGCGGGAUGACGGCCUUCGGGUUGUAAACCGCUUUCGCCUGUGACGAAGCGUGAGUGACGGUAAUGGGUAAAGAAGCACCGGCUAACUACGUG